UUUGUUCUCGUCUUCUUGCAAUGUCUAUGAAUUUCCCCAGUUUUUGAAAGGUUCAAAAAGUUUGGAACAUUUAGACCUUUCCAACAAUAAAAUUUAUGGCAAUAUUCCUAACUGGAUGUGGGAUGUGGGGAAGGACUCUUUGCAGUAUUUGAAUCUAUCUCACAACUCUUUGACAGAUUUUGAGCAAAUUCCAUGGAAGGGAAUUAAAUUUCUUGACCUUAGCUCAAAUUUCAUUCGAGGAGAUCUUUCGAUUCCACCAUCAACAACAGUGAUCUUUUAUAUCUCAAAUAAUAGUUUGAGUGGAGAGAUCCCUUCUCUGCUAUGCAAUGCAAAUUCCCUUGAAUUUCUUGGCUUGUCUCACAACAACUUGAGUGGAAUUAUUCCACAAUGUUUUGGAAACUUAAGCCAAAGCCUUUUAGUGUUGAAUCUACAAAUGAACAAAUUCCGUGGAUUCAUUCCUCCGGCUUUUACAAAGGGAUGUAAAUUGAAUUAUCUCAACUUAAAUGGUAAUCAAUUAGAAGGGCCUUUCCCACAAGCCAUCAUUAAUUGUAGAGGUUUGGAAGUGUUAGAUCUUGGUAACAACAAGAUCAAUGAUACAUUUCCUCAUUGGUUGGAAAGUCUUACACACCUACAAGUUCUUGUGCUGCAUUCGAAUCAAUUGCAUGGUUCCUUUCAGGACCCGUGGUCCAAUCAUUCUUUUUCCAAAAUUCAAAUUUUUGAUCUGUCGAAUAAUUAUUUUACUGGUCUACUUCCCGUUAAAUAUAUAAAAAAUUUCAAGGCUAUGAUAAAUCUCUCAAAAGAUAAAAGUGCAAGGUCAUACAUGGGAGUGUAUGCUCGUUCUGCUGCUGCUGACUUCUAUAGCUAUUCUAUUGAAAUUGCAAUGAAAGGAGUAGAGAUUCAAUUGGAGAAAAUAUUCAUCGCGUUGACGAGCAUUGACCUCUCAAACAAUGAGUUUCAAGGUGAGAUUCCAAAGGUUAUUGGAGAGCUUGACUCACUCAAAGGGCUAAACCUUUCUCAUAAUAACCUUAGUGGUUGUAUCCCCACAUCAAUGGGGAAUUUGACAGCACUUGAGUCACUGGAUCUCUCUUCGAAUAAGCUUGUUGGGAAGAUUCCUACACAGUUGAAUAGUUUGGGUUUUCUUGAAGUGUUAAACCUUUCACAAAAUCAGCUCGUUGGACCUAUACCUCAGGGAAAACAAUUCGAUACCUUUGGCAGGGAUUCCUACGCUGGUAACUUGGGACUGUGUGGGUUUCUAUUAUCAAGGAGCUGUGACAACACUGAGGCACCCUUUUUUCAUGACAGCACUGAGGCACCCAUUUUUCAUGUGGAAGCAGAUUCUGAAUCUGGAUUUGUGUGGAAAGCGACAUUCAUGGGUUAUGGAAGUGGACUAGUGUUGGGAAUAUCUGCAGCAUAUAUCAUGUUCACACUUGGAAGACCCAAAUGGCUUGUGAGGAUGGUUGAAGAAGUAGGCUACAAAUUGAAGAGAUACCUCAGAGGACGAAGGAAUUUGUAAAUUAGUAAGAAGCCCUCAUCUGUCACUGGUGGAUAGAAUGGCUUGUGUUCCUUUUAUGUUCAAUAUGAUUUUCGUUUCUUGACUGUGUUUUGUUUUGUCUUGCGCCCUGACUUUUCUUCCAGGGGUUGUAUCAUGUUUUCAAGUUGUUUGUUACAGGGGAUGCCUUGUUUUUGAUCUGGUAUGUUGCUUGGCUGUUGCUUAUAGCCAUCCAAAUGCUUGUUCUCUUCUGUUUUAUUCACCAAUGCUUAUUUCUAGAAUAAAUUUUCUUUCAUACUAAUGAAAUUGUAAGCCUGUUAUGGAUGCUAUAUGGAAUUUAAAGAUGAAUUUUCUAUCCCUUUUACAGAUGUUGACAUGAAAUUUUAGUUGAAUUCACCAUGCUUAAAUAACUUCUUUUUUUUUUUUACGUUUGGAGGCAGCACUGAGGGAGGAUAACAUUGAAUCCUAUAAUUAAAACUGGAGCAAUGGAAGCUUUUAAUUUAUCUCAAAUUUUGCCCUUUCACAGAGUACAGCAGGCAAGCAGAAGGACUUAACAGCAUCCAAUAGUCAAUGUUUUAAUACCUGCCACUCCGCUACCUUCUUAAUCAAGUCAAGCAAGCAAAAAGAAAUCAGUGUUACUAGCUAAAGGCAUCUGGGCUGGCAAUUCCUUCAUCACAAACAAAUUUUGCUUUACUUUGCUGAAUCAAAGAUUUUGCUUAUAUAUAUGUAUAUUGAAGAACUGAGCUUUGCUUUCUAAACUUCAGGUGCUUAAACUAUCCAGUUGCCAACUUGGCUUAACCUUGGACAUGCCUUGGACCAUGUUGAGAACAACAGUAUGCGUAGUUACCAAAUCUAGUUACCAUGCCUUCACACUUACAUCUUUGACUGGCCAUUACCAAUGGAGCCAAAACUUUCCUAUAAUUUCAGUUGUUCAUAAUAAAAGUCUUGUUCUUUUCAAUUUCUAUUCAUAAUUAAUCCUUCUGCUAGUUGUAUAUGACAACAGAAAAUAAAAAAACAUUAUACUAUUUAUUCGUCAAUUGUUUAGCUCCUUGCAAUGGGAAAAUUUUAUAAUAUGAAAUUAUAAAAAAACAUUAUAUUUAUAAAAGAUAUAGUUUUCGUCAGUCGUUGCUUAAUUGACUAUCUCUACUCCAUAAUUGACACAAAGCCAUGAAAUAUGAAAUUAGAACUCUUCUUUUUGGUCUUGCCUUGAAAGAAUAAAAUCCGAUGUGAAGAUGGACAUUACCAAAGUAAUGGAGAGAUUUCUUAAGUUUUUUUAGAGAUUAUAAAAGAAGUAUUUUGACUAUUUCUUUCUCAAAGAAAGGAAAAAGAAUAGGAGAUGUUCUGCUAAAAAAAUUCUAACUAAAGCAAAAUUAGUUUCAUGUUUAUGAUCCAAAACAUUAGCAAGAAAUUGAAUAUUUAUCGACAAAUUGAAAGCAGAAAAAAGAUUAGCAAGUUUCCUUUGAGGAGUUUUAACCUUACGCCGAAACCCAUAGGACAUUCCUUGCCUAGAACAUUUUCUACUUUUCGUAUACCAAAAGGUCUUCUUUAUAUAAUAAAUUAAUUAAUUAAUAAAACAAAUUGACUGUUUGAUUCAAAGUGUUAAACUAGAGAAAAUUUCACAUGUAUGCACUGCACAGGCGUCUUCGUCAAUUAAUUGUUACUAAUUUGCUUAUUCAAAUCCUUAGUGAAAGACUAUAGGGUCCAAACAUCGUUUGCCUUAAGGAACUAUUGACCUCACUUUUUCUUUUAUUUCUUUAAAAGAAAAAAUUACUGUAUAUAACAAGUAAUUAACAUACGAGAAGUGGGAUCAGCACAUAGAAAAUUGUAAUGGCAACAAAACUUUCCAACCGGAAAAAGUUUAAGAGACUUGGUAAACUAAUUUGUGUUGAAUGCACCUGCGUGAAGUGGGGUUCAUGCAAUAUAUAUAUAUAUAUAUAGGCCACAAAGACUUUUUCAUGCAUGUACAGCAUAAGGUUGAUACAUUGAGGGAUUGGUAUGUGAAUCAGCAUAAAGUUUUCCAAAUGAUUUGGUAUGUUAAAAAGCAAAUAUGAUGGAUUCAAAAGCAUAAAGUGGCAAAAUUGAGUCUUUAUAUAUACAUAUAGUCUGCAGGUGUUAGAUGUCAGAUUAUAAACUUUAAUGAAAUAAUAUUCCAAACUUUGAACAUUUAUAAUUUCAAUUGCUUUCAGACCAAUUGACAAUUAAAUUACCUACUAUAAUUAGAGGAUUGUAACUUACACAGAAGGCUUAUAGCUAAGUUAGACAUGAGGUAAUCAAUUCUAAAUCCAUCCAACUCAAAAAGCUAAGUUAAACUCUCGAUCUUGUCUAUAACAAACUUGAAAACCAUGCAAUCAUUGUUGCCAUUCAAUAGAAAAACAAAGGUCAAUCAUUGUCUGAAAAGUGGCAUUUCAUGUGGCAAAUGAUAAUUGUAGUUACAACAGUAAAACCGUAAAACAUUGAAUUAUACCGAGAACCAAAUCAAGAAGUGCAAUCUGCACAUAGAAAAUUGUAAUGGGGAUAUGAAAUAUAGGCCACAUGGACUUUUUCAUGCACGUACAGCUCAAAGGUUGAUACAUGGAAAGAUCUGAUAUAUAUUUUUUGAAUGGCAUAAUAUAAUUAGUAAAGGAGGGAAGAGUCUCAUCAGAAAAGGAGAAACUCCAAACCCCAAUACAAAGGGGACAUCAAACAGAAAAUCGAAUCCCAGAGCAACAAGGACACCAAGCAAGAACAGUCAGGAAAAAAAGGAAUAACAAAUAGAAGAAGGAGAAAAGCACCAGAAGAAGAACCCGAAAACACAGAAAUUAACCAAAAACUUGAAUCAGGAUAAAGUUUUCCAAACGAUUUGGUAUGCCGAAAGCAUAGUGGGGUAAACAGCAAAAGUGAUAGGUUCAAAGGGAAUACAGUGGCAAAAUUGAAUCCUAUUUGUAUAUAUUUGUCUUUAUCCUCUUUAAUCUGCACAUGUACAUAAUGUGAGAUUAUCCAAAUUCUUAUAGUCUCUAUAUUUCAUUAGAAAUUGAACAAAAUGGAGUUGAAAGUUACUCUCUAAUUUAAUUUGACAUGAAAAUUUAGAAAAAUGUUCUGAUUUUGAUACUUUUAUUAAAGUAGCAAUAAAAAAAUCUAAAUUAAUUUGAGGUAUCUUGAAAAAAAAUCUUCGAAUUCCACCUUCAACAACAAGAUUCUUUUUUAUCUCAAAUAAUAAUUUGAGUGGAGAGAUCUCUUCUCUAAUAUGCAAUGUGAGUUCUCUUAUAGUUCUUGACUUGUCUCACAACAACUUGAGAGGAAUAAUUCCACAAUCCUUUCGAAAUUUGAACAAAAGCCUCUCAAUGUUGAAAUUAGAGAGGAACAAGUUUUGUGGAACCAUUCCUCUAACUUUUGUGAAGGGAUGUGAACUGAAUUAUCUAAACUUACAUGGCAAUCUAUUAGAAGGACUUUUAACACGAUCCAUCAUUAAUUGCCAAGGUUUGGAAGUGCUAGAUCUUGGUAACAAUAAGAUCAAUGAUACAUUUCCUCAUUGGUUGGGAAGUCUUGCACAGCUACAAGUUCUUGUAUUACGAUCAAACAAAUUCCAAGGUUCCACUAGGUCCAGUAAUUCAUUCUCCAAAAUCCAAAUUUUUAACCUCUCAAAUAAUUACUUUAAUGGUCCACUUCCUGUUAAAUAUAUAAAAAUUUGAAAGCUAUGAUAAAUCUCACAAAAAAUGAUAGUGCAAGUUCAUACAUGGGGCUGGAUGCAUAUUGUGGAUCUUAUAGCUAUUCUAUUAAAAUUGCAAUAAAAGGACAAGAGGUUGAAUUAGAGAAAAUUUUCAUCACGUUGACUAGCAUUGACCCCUCAAAGAAUGAGUUUCAGGGUGAGAUUCCAAAGGUUAUUGGAGAGCUUAACUCACCCAAAGGGCUUAACCUUUCUCAUAAUAACCUUAGUGGUUGUAUCCCC
rnacentral:lncRNA from 1 species